CUGGCUGGCUGGUGCUGAUUUGAUCUGCUGAUCGGUUCUUACGUGGGAGAAGAAACGUAAGUUGAGUGAUCAUUGACAUAAACACACCACUUACUAUGGAUUGGUAAAGGCUCAGAACAUAAUAUUAAUGUUUAUUGAUUGUCCGAAUUACAUCUUUUUGACAUAGUGGCAUUAUCUUCUUGACUCAUUUCAUCAUGCUGUCAUGAUUAACCCCCCCUGAUUCUUCUGCCUGGACUCAUGCGGGGUUAAAUAAAACAAAAGCAAAACAAGAAUUGUCAUACUAGGAGGAGCGACUAGCUAGCUAGAGCUAGAAGGAGAGAGGAAAGUAGCAAGUUGAUGGAUGGAAAAUGCUUUCUUCAUAGGUUCACUGUCAUGGCUGAUAAACUUCGUCAACAUAUUGUCUAUGACGCGUCACCAUAUCCAGAAUGAGAUCAACCGUCAACGUCGGUCGGUGCUCCCUCUUUCUGACCUAUUUAACAGUUAACAUGCGAUUCGAUGGUAUUCAACAACUAAUUACGAGGAAGAACGUGCAUUGACAUGUUUUGGUUGGUGUCGUGUAAAGGGGACAUAUCCCAUGUGGAUAAUUGUAUUUCUUUUUCCCCAUCCAUGUACCUUUUGAUUCGUUAUCCCAUUUUAUCUUCCUUUAUCAAAAGGUUUGUGUCAUCCUCUCUCUCUCUCUCUCUCAAAAAAAAAAAAAGCUCUACGUGCCCUUGGUCGAUUGGAAAGUUCCCUAAUUAAGGAGUGGGGUGGUUUUGCUCUUCCAUUUGUCUUCCUGCCGCCAGCCUGCAGGUAAUUCGGUAAAAGUUCGUUCAAGAGAGAAGAGCAGCCUAAAAAUUCGUCCGUCCCAUUUCUGGACUAUUCUUCAAUUGCAGAUGCGCAUAUUGCAGGAACCUAUAAGGAGGAAUGCAGAAAGAGAGGAGACGUGGAAAAAGGAAGGAUACGUGAUGUGGAACCUCAAAAGCAAGCAAAAGUGAUGGCGUAGGAUGUCGGAAGAAGAUCGACUCUUUUCUUCCUCCUUCCCCCACAACAACAACAACAACAAAACAAUUUAAAGCAUUCUCUAAACACAUCGCUUUUCAUCCGAGAAAAAUAGCCAUUAAUGGAACGUCCCCAACUAUAAACUAAUUAAAUGCUAUAUAUCUACUGCCUUCUGAGCUAAGUUUUCUUGUCUUCUGGUCAAUGGACUAGGACUGGCUCGCUCAUUUGUUAAGGGCUAAAAAUGACGUGUUUUUUAGACCAUUUGGAGAGCUAAAUAUAAUGAAUGGGUUUUUCGUUGGUGAUUA